UUGGCUUUUGAUUUCUCAUUGCCUGCGAGGAGGACCAGGCGUGCCUCCUGGCUCCCACAUCGCAGCUCUUCAGGGCUUGCCUGACACACUCCCAUGGCUUGGGACUCUGCGUCCUCCUGGGCGAAGGGGCUCUGUUCGUGGCUAGCCGGGAAGUGGAAGGCCAGACUGAGUUUUGAGCUUUUCCAGCUGUAGAGAUGUAUGAAUAAAGUGAAUAUCGCCUCUUGUGGAAUCCUGGAAAAAAAUGCCUUUUCCAGAAAGCUGCAGACACUUGUGAAGGAAAGUGGAUGUUUCACAUCUGAGCAACUUCCAGUCAGGAACAGUAAUUGGAUCACAGGAGAAGCGCACUAUCCUUUCCUGAUGCCCUUCUCUGGUGACUUUUAAGGCUUCUGACAAAGUCCUGCCAGAGACGACAGCUAGCCUAGAGGACAGUGGCAUGUGUAUAACGGGGCUGAUUAAGAGAAAAGGAAAAUAACUAGCAGUUCACUUUUGUUGUGGCAAAAAGGCUCCAUCUGGUGGUGUUUUCACCCGGACCAGAAGGUAAGCUGUUGGGAUGGGAAACUCUACAGGUGACACUAAGUUACUUAGACAAGUUCAAACCAGAGAAGAGCUGGGAAAUCUCAAGACCUGUUAAAGACAGCUGAAUAGGCAGCAUGAUGAUAAAUGAAGGGGUGUGUGGAUAAAUGCAAAGUAAUGCACUUGUAAAAAUGCAAAGUAAUGCACUUGUAAGGGGACAAGUGAAAUAUGUGGAUGGAUGCUUUAGUACUCAAAAGUAUCAGCCCAGCUGCAAAACCUGGGCACAGACAAUCCACUGGAGAUUUGUGCUGCUCAGCACAAAGGUAUAGCAAAGAAAGCAACCGAAACAAAGAGAUACAUAGAAGAGGAAUAUUAGAGCAAAUAUUUUAAUGCCUUUCUAGUGAGCACAGUCUGGGGCACUCCACCGGGAAAAGGGAUACUGCAGAAACAGUCAGGGUCAAAAAGAUAAGCAUAGAAAGACCCUGGUACAGAAAAAGGCUGGAAAGUUUGCUAGUCUUAUGUUAAAAAUGGGCAGGAAUGUGAGGGACAUGAUAAAUGACAGAAAGUUAUGGCUGGUCCUGCUAAGCCUCUGCAGCUGCAAAGAGAAAGGAAAUAAGCUGUACUACAUGUCCUAUCCAAGCCCAGUAAUAGGACAAGUUUAAACUGAAACCACGGAUAGACAUUGAGGAAAAAUCUGCCUGAAGGUAAAGAUUAAGGUAGGAAUCAGUGACAUACAGAGGCAAUAUUGGAGAUUUUUAAAAAUAGGUUAGACAAAUG